GCUUACAGUCUACAGAAGGAGACAGGCAUUAAAAUAUAUUAAAGAAAGUUGAAAAAGCAGAAUAUGAGAAUAUGUGCAUAAGUGAUUAAGUACCAAGUGCAUAGUCAAUGCAGAGGGGAGGGUGGAUAGGAUAAAAAUGCCUCAACAAAAAGGCUAGAUAAAUGUAUCCCGACUUGCAAGAAACUGAUUUUUUUCCUUUUGUCUUUAAAGCAGUAAGAAGAAGCAUAAUUUUGGAUACAAAAUUUGGCACAGGCACAUUACCUGCCCACAGUGAGCUUACAGCAUUGACUGCUUGAUUGAUUGAGAAUCAUCAGAUUUGCAAAGGAGGAGGUCACUGGUAACUUGGGAGAGGCAAGUUUCAGCGGAGUGGAGGGGACUGAAGCCAGGAUGCAGAUGGUCCAAGUGGGAGAUGGAGAAGAAAGAGUGGAAGCAACUGGUGUAAGUUUUGAUAAAAAUGGUUUGAUUGGGCAAUAACUAGAUGGUACAAUGGAUCGAGAUUUUUUUGGGGGGAAAGGCAAGGGAUAUAUGAGGCUGUUUGAAAGCAGAAGAGAAGGAGCCAUCAGAGUGUGAAUGGUUUGAUGAUAGAGAUCAGAGAGGGAAGUAGAGAGGGUGCAAGUGUUUUUUAAGAGAUCUCUUAAGUGAUGGCUUGGAAGGAUGAGGAGUCAGUGGGAGAGGAUAAGUGAGAGAUAAGGAAGGGGGCGAUUUGGGGGAGUUCAUGCCUUAUGGUCUUGAUUUUAUCCACAAAGUAGUGAGGAAGGUCAUCAGGAGUAAGGUGGAGGGGUUAAGGGCAAUCAAUCAUAUUCAUUGGCUGCUUACUGUGUGCAGAACACUGAACUAAGCACUUGGGAGAGUAUAACAGUUGGUAGGCACCUUCCCUGCCUGCAACGAGCUUACAGUCUAGAGGGUGAGACAGAUAUUGAUAUAUAUAUAUAUAAAUAAAUUAUGGAUAGGUAUACCAGUUCUGUGAGGCUGAAGGAGGGGUGAAUAAAGGGUGCAAACUCAAAUGCAAGGGUGAUGCAGAAAGAAGUGGGAGAAGAGGAAAUGAGGGCCUAGUUGGGAAAGACCUCUUGGAGGAGAUGUGCCUUCAAUAAGGCUUUGAAGGUGAAGCGAGUGAUCAUCUGUCGGAUAUGAAGAGGGAGGGUGCGUGUUCCAGACCAGAAGCGGGACAUAGGCAAGGAGUCAGCAGCGAGAUAGGUGAGAUGUAAGUACAGUGAGUAGUUUGGCAUUAGAGGAGCGAGGUGUGCAGUCUGGAGUGUAGUAGGAAAGCAAUGAGGGAAGGAAGGAGGCGGCACAGUGAUUGAAUGCUUUAAAGCUGAUGGAAAGAAGUUUCUGUCUGAGGCGGAGGAGGGUGGGCCGCCACUGGAGGUUCUUGAGGAAUGGGGAGACGUGGACCGAAUGUUUUUGUAGGAAACUGGCAGCAAAGUGAAAUAUGGACUGGAGUGGGGAGAGACAGGAGGCAGACAGGUCGGCAAGGAGGCUGAUGCAGUUACCAAGGUGGGGUAGGAUAAUAUCUUGGUAUAACACGGUCGCAAUUCGAACGCUCGC
rnacentral:lncRNA from 1 species